rnacentral:lncRNA from 1 species
UGAGCUGACGCUCGGAAGGUGUCUUGAGAUUAUCAUCCGCUGAGGGUGGAAGCGGCCCCCGCAGACGCUCGGCAGGUGUCUUGAGAUUAUCAUCUGCUGAGGGUGGAAGCGGCCCCCGCAGACGCUCGGCAGGUGUCUUGAUAUUAUCAUCUGCUGAGGGUGGAGCUGAGGGUGGAAGGGGAGUGAGCUGACGCUCGGAAGGUGUCUUGAGAUUAUCAUCCGCUGAGGGUGGAAGCGGCCCCCGCAGACGCUCGGCAGGUGUCUUGAGAUUAUCAUCUGCUGAGGGUGGAAGCGGCCCCCGCAGACGCUCGGCAGGUGUCUUGAUAUUAUCAUCUGCUGAGGGUGGAAGGGCAGUGAGCUGACGCUCGGAAGGUGUCUUGAGAUUAUCAUCCGCUGAGGGUGGAAGGGGAUGGAGCAGACACUCGGCACGUGUCUUGAGAUUAUCAUCCGCUGAGGGUGGAGCUGAGGGUAGAGCUGAGGGUGGAAGGGGAGUGAGCAGACACUCGGGAGGUGUCUUGAGAUUAUCAUCCGCUGAGGGUGGAAGGGGAGUGAGCAGACACUCAGGAGGUGUCUUGAGAUUAUCAUCCGCUGAGGGUGGAAGGGGAGUGAGCAGACACUCGGGAGGUGUCUUGAGGCUCAGGGAGUUAUCAGUUAUAGAAUGUUGUUGAGUUGGAGGAGGUGGCUGGUGGCCCAUCCUGU